UUACAUCAAGCAAGAGGAACAUGGCUCAGUCUGUGCAGACUAAACUCGACAUUUGUUUACCCAUAUUGUUUGAUGGACGCAAGAAGAUUAUACAUUGAAAACUGUAGUGAGUGAAUGUCAAUUAAUCCCUAUUAUGUAAUUUGCCAAGGAACUCAGUAAAAAGGCCAGUAGCUAAUGGCUAACUAGCUACUUACGACUCGUUCAAGGAAAGUCGGAGGCCAUUACGAGCACCACAAUCAUGUGCGGAGAUUGCGCACGUGGUCCGCAGCAUGGCCCUCGAGUCCACGUUGGGACCAUGGAACCCCUUGUGUUCUCUUGAGGUAGUUGCAUGCAAUGGCAAUCCAAUAACCAUAGAAAAUAUCCAUUGUUGUAUGAAUGAUGUUUUAACGCGUUAGACUUCUGAUUGACAGUGAAGUUGACUUUUGUUGUUCUGACUCAUAACCCAGGCAUGGACAUCAAUGUGGUUGUCUCCAGUCUUGGUGAAUAACUUUUUUUUGUGCUUAUUUUUGCCUUUGCGACUUCAGGGAAUCGUGGCUUGUCUUGGAGCAGGAGACGUGUAAGCCAUUAACAGCGUGUCUCCUUUCUACGAAGGAACCCUGCAUCAUUCAGGUUUCCCUCAGACGAAGAUGCAGUCAUGGGAGUCCAAUGUGGUGCAAAAUGAAUACCAGGGAGAGACUUCAACUGAUACAACUACAUUUAUUGAACAUUAUUAAGUUGUCCAAUAAAGUCAUAUUUGUAGUGGAA